rnacentral:lncRNA from 1 species
CUUCCAAACAACUCAACUUUGGUUUCAUCUGUCCACAGAAUAUUUUGCCAGUACUACUGUGGAACAUCCAGAUGCUCUUGUGCAAACUGUAAACGUGCAGCAAUGUUUUGUUUGGACAUUAGUGGCUUCCUCUGUGGUUUCCUCCCAUGAAAUCCAUUCUUGUUUAGUGUUUUACGUAUUGUAGUUACGGGAUGUUAGCAUUUGCCAGUGACUUUUGUAAGUCUUUAGCUGACACUCUAGGAUUCUUCUUCACCUCAUUGAGCAGUCUGCGCUGUGCUCUUGCAGUCAUCUUUACAGGAUGGCCACUCCUAGGGAGAGUAGCAGCAGUGCUGAACUUUCUCCAUUUAUAGACAAUUUGUCUUACUGUGGACUGAUGAACAGCAAUGCUUUUGGAGAUACUUUUAUAACCCUUUCCAGCAUUAUGCAAGUCAACAAUUCUUAAUCGUAGGUCUUCUGAGAGCUCUU